UACGUAGGGUGCGAGCGUUAAUCGGAAUACUGGGCGUAAAGCGUGCGCAGGCGGUGAUGUAAGACCGAUGUGAAAUCCCCGGGCUUAACCUGGGAACUGCAUUGGUGACUGCAUUGCUGGAGUAUGGCAGAGGGGGGUGGAAUUCCACGUGUAGCAGUGAAAUGCGUAGAGAUGUGGAGGAACACCGAUGGCGAAGGCAGCCCCCUGGGCCAAUACUGACGCUCAUGCACGAAAGCGUGGGGAGCGAAA
rnacentral:rRNA from 1 species